AGCUUUCUGAAUCCAUGCAGAGAUUUUUUCAGACACUAAGCCAUUAGUGCUGAUCAGACUUCCAAGUUAAGUGAAGUU
rfam:Schistosoma curassoni strain Dakar, Senegal genome assembly, scaffold: SCTD_scaffold0022174